AGAGUUUGAUCAUGGCUCAGAUUGAACGCUGGCGGUAUGCCUUACACAUGCAAGUCGAACGGUAGAGGGGCAACCCUUGAGAGUGGCGAACGGGUGAGUAAUACAUCGGAACGUGCCCAGUCGUGGGGGAUAACGUAGCGAAAGCUACGCUAAUACCGCAUACGACCUGAGGGUGAAAGCGGGGGAUCGCAAGACCUCGCGCGAUUGGAGCGGCCGAUGGCAGAUUAGGUAGUUGGUGGGGUAAAGGCCUACCAAGCCUGCGAUCUGUAGCUGGUCUGAGAGGACGACCAGCCACACUGGGACUGAGACACGGCC
rnacentral:rRNA from 1 species